CUACGGGGCGCUGCAGUGGGGAAUAUUGCACAAUGGGGGAAACCCUGAUGCAGCAACGCCGCGUGAAGGAAGAAGGUUUUCGGAUCGUAAACUUCUAUCAGCAAGGAAGAUAAUGACGGUACUUGACUAAGAAGCCCCGGCUAACUACGUGCCAGCAGCCGCGGUAAUACGUAGGGGGCAAGCGUUAUCCGGAAUUACUGGGUGUAAAGGGUGCGUAGACGGUAAUGACAGUCAGGUGUGAAAGCCCGAAGCUCAACUUCGGGACUGCACUUGAAACUACAUAACUAGAAUACAGGAGAGGAAAGUGGAAUUCCUAGUGUAGCGGUGGAAUGCGUAGAUAUUAGGAGGAACACCAGUGGCGAAGGCGACUUUCUGGACUGUAACUGACGUUGAGGCACGAAAGCGUGGGGAGCAAACAGGAUUAGAUACCCCUGUAGUC
rnacentral:rRNA from 1 species